UACAGAGGGCUCAAGCGUUGUUCGGAUUCAUUGGGCGUAAAGGGCGCGUAGGCUGCGGGGCAAGUCGGGUGUGAAAUCUCAGAGCUCAACUCUGAAACUGCACUCGAUACUGCUUUGCUUGAGGACUGGAGAGGAGAUUGGAAUUCCCGGUGUAGCAGUGAAAUGCGUAGAUAUCGUGAGGAAGACCAGUGGCGAAGGCGGCUCCCUGGACAGUUCCUGACGCUGAGGCGCGAAGGCCAGGGGAGCAAACGGG
rnacentral:rRNA from 1 species